rfam:Citrus sinensis cultivar Ridge Pineapple sweet orange scaffold00116_contig_12, whole genome shotgun sequence.
GAGAUAAGGGACUGUCAAGUUAGCCAAGGAGACUGCCUGGUAUCCAACAAUCAAAGGGUUUCUUUUAGAAAAAUUAUAUCAUCAACAUGAUUUUGAAACCACUUAAUUGGAAAGUUCAGGCAAGUCAUCCUUGGCUACCAAACUAGACUCUCAUUU